AGGAAGUAGUGAAAAGUGUCCUUGAGACAGAUUUUUUUUUUUAAUCUUUCAGACUUUCAACAAUGACAGAACAAAGGAAAUGGCAGAAGUGGAUUUUCCUUCUACUCCACAAACUACUUCUCCUCUUCCAGGAUAUUAUCACUAUGUAGAAGGAACUUCUUUUGAAAAUACAUUCCUGCUGUUCACAAAAUUAUAGAUGUUCUUCCUUUACAGAAGUCCUGGAGAUUUAGUGGAGGACAAGAAAGACAAAGAGAAGAAUUACAUGGCUCAUACUCUUCAAAGAGAAUAAUGGAAAGAGAUAAAGAAAUUCAUGGAAAGAAUUAUUUGGUGUUUCUGAAAAAACGACAAUGGGACAUGGUGAAUGGCCAAAAUACGGGACUGAGGAGGACCCCCUCAAAUGCUGUAGUUCAACUUUCUACUUCCCAGCAGGACAAAUGGAAAGAAAGUUCUAGCAUAUGCCAGUCUUGGAAGUAUAGUACUCACUCUACUUUUGUUGUUGUUGUUGUUUUGUUGUGUUGUGUUCUGUUUUACUGCCUUGGGGAGAUGUAAUAAAGAGAAAAUCCAAUGCCUCCACCAGCUAAUGGUGUUUAUUUUAAAGAAAGUAAAUAAAGUAUUCGUUGCAGUAAAUGGAAAAAACUACAGCAUGAAUUAAGCUUGAAAAAUGAAAAAAAAAAUUCUGAAGUGAUCUGAACUGAAUGGUAACUAAUAUCUUUCCUAGGAUAUGUAUGUCUCACGUUUGAUGUAAAAAAGAACGGAUCUGAAAAUGCUUUG